rnacentral:rRNA from 1 species
GACGAACGCUGGCGGCGUGCCUAAUACAUGCAAGUCGAACGAGAGCGACCGGUGCUUGCACUGGUCAAUCUAGUGGCGAACGGGUGAGUAACACGUGGGUAACCUGCCCAUCAGAGGGGGAUAACAUCCGGAAACGGAUGCUAAAACCGCAUAGGUCUUCGAGCCGCAUGGCUUGAAGAGGAAAAGAGGCGCAAGCUUCUGCUGAUGGAUGGACCCGCGGUGCAUUAGCUGGUUGGUGAGGUAACGGCUCACCAAGGCCGUGAUGCAUAGCCGACCUGAGAGGGUGAUCGGCCACAUUGGGACUGAGACACGGCCCAAACUCCUACGGGAGGCAGCAGUAGGGAAUCUUCCGCAAUGGACGCAAGUCUGACGGAGCAACGCCGCGUGAGUGAAGAAGGUUUUCGGAUCGUAAAACUCUGUUGUUAGAGAAGAACAAGUGCUAGAGUAACUGUUAGCGCCUUGACGGUAGCUAACCAGAAAGCCACGGCUAACUACGUG